rnacentral:rRNA from 1 species
UACGUAGGGGGCUAGCGUUGUCCGGAAUCAUUGGGCGUAAAGCGCGUGUAGGCGGCCCGGUAAGUCCGCUGUGAAAGUCGAGGGCUCAACCCUCGAAUGCCGGUGGAUACUGUCGGGCUAGAGUACGGAAGAGGCGAGUGGAAUUCCUGGUGUAGCAGUGAAAUGCGUAGAGAUCGGGAGGAACAUCAGUUGCGAAGGCGGCUCUCUGGACCAGCACUGACACUGAGGCACGAAAGCCAGGGGAGCAAACGGG